rnacentral:rRNA from 1 species
GACGAACGCUGGCGGCGUGCUUAACACAUGCAAGUCGAACGGAAAGGCCCUGCUUUUGUGGGGUGCUCGAGUGGCGAACGGGUGAGUAACACGUGAGUAACCUGCCCUUGACUUUGGGAUAACUUCAGGAAACUGGGGCUAAUACCGGAUUGGAGCUCCUGCUGCAUGGUGGGGGUUGGAAAGUUUCGGCGGUUGGGGAUGGACUCGCGGCUUAUCAGCUUGUUGGUGGGGUAGUGGCUUACCAAGGCUUUGACGGGUAGCCGGCCUGAGAGGGUGACCGGCCACAUUGGGACUGAGAUACGGCCCAGACUCCUACGGGAGGCAGCAGUGGGGAAUAUUGCACAAUGGGCGGAAGCCUGAUGCAGCAACGCCGCGUGCGGGAUGACGGCCUUCGGGCUGUAAACCGCUUUCGCCUGUGACGAAGCGUGAGUGACGGUAAUGGGUAAAGAAGCACCGGCUAACUACGUG